UUAUUCUCCAAUCAUCCAGUGU
rnacentral:misc_RNA from 1 species